AAUAGAUACCCCGGUAGUCCACGCCCUAAACGAUGCUCACUAGGUGUUGGGGAAGCGAUUCCUUGGUACCGUAGCUAACGCGUGAAGUGAGCCGCCUGGGGAGUACGGCCGCAAGGUUAAAACUCAAAGGAAUUGACGGGGACCCGCACAAGCGGUGGAUGAUGUGGAUUAAUUCGAUGCAACGCGAACAACCUUACCUACCCUUGACAUGUCCGGAAGCCUGCUGAAAGGUGGGUGUGCUCGAAAGAGAACCGGAACACAGGUGCUGCAUGGCUGUCGUCAGCUCGUGUCGUGAGAUGUUGGGUUAAGUCCCGCAACGAGCGCAACCCUUGUCCCUAAUUGCUACGCAAGGGCACUCUAGGGAGACUGCCGGUGACAAACCGGAGGAAGGUGGGGAUGACGUCAAGUCCUCAUGGCCCUUAUGGGUAGGGCUUCACACGUCAUACAAUGGACGGUACAGAGGGUUGCCAACCCGCGAGGGGGAGCCAAUCCCAGAAAGCCGUUCGUAGUCCGGAUCGCAGUCUGCAACUCGACUGCGUG
rnacentral:rRNA from 1 species